AUAAAAAUGGUGGUAAUAAUAAUAUGCUUUGGGAGCAGGGGGCGCAGGUUCGAAUCCUGCUUUUU
rnacentral:tRNA from 1 species